AGGCCUAACACAUGCAAGUCGAACGGUAACAGGAAUCAGCUUGCUGAUUCGCUGACGAGUGGCGGACGGGUGAGUAAUGUCUGGGAAACUGCCUGAUGGAGGGGGAUAACUACUGGAAACGGUAGCUAAUACCGCAUAACGUCGCAAGACCAAAGAGGGGGACCUUCGGGCCUCUUGCCAUCGGAUGUGCCCAGAUGGGAUUAGCUAGUAGGUGGGGUAACGGCUCACCUAGGCGACGAUCCCUAGCUGGUCUGAGAGGAUGACCAGCCACACUGGAACUGAGACACGGUCCAGACUCCUACGGGAGGCAGCAGUGGGGAAUAUUGCACAAUGGGCGCAAGCCUGAUGCAGCCAUGCCGCGUGUAUGAAGAAGGCCUUCGGGUUGUAAAGUACUUUCAGCGGGGAGGAAGGGAGUAAAGUUAAUACCUUUGCUCAUUGACGUUACCCGCAGAAGAAGCACCGGCUAACUCCGUGCCAGCAGCCGCGGUAAUACGGAGGGUGCAAGCGUUAAUCGGAAUUACUGGGCGUAAAGCGCACGCAGGCGGUUUGUUAAGUCAGAUGUGAAAUCCCCGGGCUCAACCUGGGAACUGCAUCUGAUACUGGCAAGCUUGAGUCUCGUAGAGGGGGGUAGAAUUCCAGGUGUAGCGGUGAAAUGCGUAGAGAUCUGGAGGAAUACCGGUGGCGAAGGCGGCCCCCUGGACGAAGACUGACGCUCAGGUGCGAAAGCGUGGGGAGCAAACAGGACUAGAUACCCUGGUAGUCCACGCCGUAAACGAUGUCGACUUGGAGGUUGUGCCCUUGAGGCGUGGCUUCCGGAGCUAACGCGUUAAGUCGACCGCCUGGGGAGUACGGCCGCAAGGUUAAAACUCAAAUGAAUUGACGGGGGCCCGCACAAGCGGUGGAGCAUGUGGUUUAAUUCGAUGCAACGCGAAGAACCUUACCUGGUCUUGACAUCCACAGAACUUUCCAGAGAUGGAUUGGUGCCUUCGGGAACUGUGAGACAGGUGCUGCAUGGCUGUCGUCAGCUCGUGUUGUGAAAUGUUGGGUUAAGUCCCGCAACGAGCGCAACCCUUAUCCUUUGUUGCCAGCGGUCCGGCCGGGAACUCAAAGGAGACUGCCAGUGAUAAACUGGAGGAAGGUGGGGAUGACGUCAAGUCAUCAUGGCCCUUACGACCAGGGCUACACACGUGCUACAAUGGCGCAUACAAAGAGAAGCGACCUCGCGAGAGCAAGCGGACCUCAUAAAGUGCGUCGUAGUCCGGAUUGGAGUCUGCAACUCGACUCCAUGAAGUCGGAAUCGCUAGUAAUCGUGGAUCAGAAUGCCACGGUGAAUACGUUCCCGGGCCUUGUACACACCGCCCGUCACACCAUGGGAGUGGGUUGCAAAAGAAGUAGGUAGCUUAACCUUCGGGAGGGCGCUUACCACUUUGUGAUUCAUGACUGGGGUGAAGUCA
rnacentral:rRNA from 1 species